ACACACAUAAAACAAUUUUUUAAAAAAUAUUUAUGGGCUGGAGAGAUGACUCAGAGGUUAAGAGCACCGGCUGCUCUUCCAGAGGUCCUGAGUUCGAUUCCCAGCAACCACAUGGUGGCUCACCACCAUCUAUAAUGAGAUCUGGUGUCCUCUUCCGGCCUGCAGGCAUACAUGCAGGCAGAACAUUGUAUACAUAAUAAAAUCUUUUUAAAAAAACAUUUUAUAAGCCAGGCGUUGGUGGCGCACGCCUUUAAUCCCAGCACUCGGGAGGCAGAGGCAGGCGGAUCUCUGUGAAUUCGAGGCCAGCCUGGUCUCCAGAGCGAGUGCCAGGAUAGGCUCCAAAGCUACACAGAGAAACCCUGUCUCAAAAAACCAAAAAAAGAAAAAAAAGUAUUUUAUAAAGGUUGUGUCUUGAGGUGGCUCAUGCCUUUAAUCCCAACACUAAGGAGUCAGAGUCAGGAUGAUCUCUGUGAGUUUGAGGCCAGGGUGGUCUACAUAUCGAGUAGGGCAGCCAGGACUACAUAGAGAGAGACCCUCUCUCAAAAUACAGACUGUGUCUUAAAAAAAAAAAGAUGGAGAUCCAUAGAGAAAGACAUCUGAUGUUGACCUGUGGCCACCACAUGUAUGUGCAUGUGCACAUGCACAUACACAUACACACCAUUGGUGCACACUCAGAAGUAAUGAUUACAAUACACCUUCUGGAUCUGGGUAGGGUAUCCUCAUCUGAGAUCUCACUUGGAGGAAGGAGGAUCAGGGCAUCAGUAUCAGCCUCUGCUACAGAGUGAGCUGGAGCCCUUGGACUAGGUGAGACUUUCUCGAAACAAAGCGAGCACUCAUGUUCUCCUCUCCCCUGGCCUCAGUUUCUGUCACCAUGGGAUGAUGAUUUUCUAUUUGCCUCAUCCUCUUCUCCUUAAAUUCCCUCCUUGAUCCUAUGGCUCAUUCCAGGACAAGCUUUGUUUCUUCACUCUUUUUCUGUAGAUCUGCUGCCCUUCCACAUGCUCAGCUCCUGUUCCUCCUGCAGGACCCCACUGAAUGCUCUGCACCCCUGAGAAGACGCCUCUAUCAUACGCUCCUCACCGACUUUGAGGCUCACUCUCCCUCUGAGGGAUGGAACCCAGGACCUCGUGUGUGGCAAGCAAGCACUGUGCUGCUGACCUGUACCCAGCCUACCCUUCUAUUUCCUACCUGUCCCUCCUAUGAAGAAGAUAGACUCUAGCCUGGAGAAUGGCCCCACCUCCACUGCCUGGGAUGGGGAAGUGAAGAGUGGCCGUCCUCCAUUGUAACAGCUGUCCUCUUAGAACCACUUUGCUUGGCUCUGGGAUCCUGGCUCUCUCCUGUACAGCCCCACGGGAAGCUCCCCACACCUCUCACAUGAGGACCGAAGUAUGCUUGGAGAGGUUCCAUCUCCCCAGUGGGGCUUAUGUCCUCUGUGGGGUGGACAGUAUUAGGUACUCACUCCAGAGAUGGACACCGUGCCCUGCUUCUGGGCCUGAGGUGAGAGGAUUUGGCAUGUACACUGUGGGAACAGAGCCAACACAAAGGCAUGCCUUGUGCAUAUCUGAACCCUAACAGUCUGAUGCUGCAGACUAUGGCCACAGCCAAGGGCUCUCUGAACCCGAGCAGACUGCCGCUGCACCCCAUACCUGUACACUGUGUGCAUUCUACAAAAAUGGCUGAUGUUGUGCAGACAUCUUGUUGCUUUUUGUAAAACAUCAUGAACUGAUUUCAUCAGAAGCAAGUGUGUAGACGAGGGAGGAGGAAGACAGAGACCCAGAAAUAAACAAUGGAAGAGACGCA
rnacentral:lncRNA from 1 species